CCUACGUGAGGCAGCAGUAGGGAAUCUUCCACAAUGGGCGAAAGCCUGAUGGAGCAACGCCGCGUGGGUGAAGAAGGUCUUCGGAUCGUAAAACCCUGUUGUUAGAGAAGAAAGUGCGUGAGAGUAACUGUUCACGUUUCGACGGUAUCUAACCAGAAAGCCACGGCUAACUACGUGCCAGCAGCCGCGGUAAUACGUAGGUGGCAAGCGUUAUCCGGAUUUAUUGGGCGUAAAGGGAACGCAGGCGGUCUUUUAAGUCUGAUGUGAAAGCCUUCGGCUUAACCGGAGUAGUGCAUUGGAAACUGGAAGACUUGAGUGCAGAAGAGGUGAGUGGAACUCGAUGUGUAGCGGUGAAAUGCGUAGAUAUAAGGAAGAACACCAGUGGCGAAGGCGGCUCUCUGGUCUGUAACUGACGCUGAGGUUCGAAAGCGUGGGUAGCAAACAGGAUUAGAUACCCGUGUAGUC
rnacentral:rRNA from 1 species